rnacentral:rRNA from 1 species
UACGGAAGGCAGCAGUGGGGAAUAUUGCACAAUGGGCGAAAGCCUGAUGCAGCUAUGCCGCGUGUAUGAAGAAGGCCUUAGGGUUGUAAAGUACUUUCAUCGGGGAGGAAAAACAAAACUAAUAAUUUUAUUUCUUGACGUUACCCGAAAAAGAAGCACCGGCUAACUCCGUGCCAGCAGCCGCGGUAAUACGGAGGGUGCUAGCGUUAAUCAGAAUUACUGGGCGUAAAGAGCACGUAGGUGGUUUUUUUAAGUCAGAUGUGAAAUCCCUGGGCUUAACCUAGGAACUGCAUUUUGAAACUGAAAUACUAGAGUAUCGUAGAGGGAGGUAGAAUUCUAGGUGUAGCGGUGAAAUGCGUAGAUAUCUGGAGGAAUACCUGUGGCGAAAGCGGCCUCCUAAACGAAUACUGACACUGAGGUGCGAAAGCGUGGGGAGCAAACAGGAUUAGAUACC